rnacentral:rRNA from 1 species
AUGGUCCCGUCAGAUUACAAGCAUGGGCUUUGUGCAAUUGGCAGAAAUCUGUGUUAUUGGGACGUUUUUUUUCAUGGUUGGAAACAAGAUGUUCCUGAUGUUGGAGCUCACAGAGAAGGGUAUUAUGAUAGUCUACUUACUUCUGAAGGAAUUAUUGAUGACUACUUUGAUGGGUACUUUUCUGAAGAAAUGAUUGUCCCAGUUCGCGAUGGACAUAGACAUGGGAACGUCGCGACGGAGAUCCCCCACUCCAACCCACGACUCCGGGGUGACUGGCGGUCGGCCAGUGACCGUGCUCAAAAUCCGGUUCAGUGUCAAUGGUGGGUUGUGCUCUAG